CGGGGUGCACCAGGCGCGAAAACUUUACAAUGCCGGCAACGGCGAUAAGGGAACCUCGAGUGCCAGGUUACAAAUCUGGCUGUCGUGAUGCCUAAAAAGCAUUGCAUAGCAAGGGCCGGGCAAGACCGGUGCCAGCCGCCGCGGUAACACCGGCGGCUCGAGUGGUAACCGUUAUUAUUGGGUCUAAAGGGUCUGUAGCCGGCCGGGUAAGUCUCUUGGGAAAUCUGGCAGCUUAACUGUCAGGCUUUCAGGAGAUACUGCCUGGCUCGAGGCCGGGAGAGGUGAGAGGUACUUCAGGGGUAGGGGUGAAAUCUUGUAAUCCUUGAAGGACCACCAGUGGCGAAGGCGUCUCACCAGAACGGACCUGACGGCAAGGGACGAAAGCUAGGGGCACGAACCGGAUUAGAUACCCGGGUAGUCCUAGCCGUAAACGAUACUCGCUAGGUGUCGGCCACGGUGCGACCGUGGUCGGUGCCGUAGGGAAGCCGUGAAGCGAGCCACCUGGGAAGUACGGCCGCAAGGCUGAAACUUAAAGGAAUUGGCGGGGGAGCACAAGGGCGAUUGCGG
rnacentral:rRNA from 1 species